rnacentral:rRNA from 1 species
AUGGAGGCCAUGGCUGCAAAAGGCAGCCCGAAGCCCGUCCCCAACUAUCUUCGGCCAUCAACCGGGUCGUGCCACGACGCGUGCAAGCACGGCGGGCAUCACGCGUUCGAGGAGAAACAAGCUCCAAGGGCCCAACCCAAACCCCGGAAGAAGCAGCAGCCAUCGGCUUCCGAUGACCACAAGACAAGGCUGGUCAAGGUACGGUCGGUGUCACGCAGGCGUGUCGGAGAUUUCAGCAAACCCGACAAGGCCGAUACGCCGGCCGGUGGGAGCGAGAUUGUUGUUGAGUGGAAGGACAUCGUGGCCUAUGAUGCAGCGCCAGUGCCAGUUCCGGCUCCAGCCUCACCCGACGGGCCAUCUCAUCAACAACCUGAUGGGAGGAACAAGAGGGAUGUGAAGGGGAAAGCACCAUUUGCCAAGGCCACCCAUCCGGAGAAGCAAACCGAAUCACUGAACAAGAGGCUGGCUAAGACCGUCAGGUCGACGCUCACCGGGAAGGCCUCCGUGAAGAAGCCUCAAGCCGCCACUAACAGUUCACCUUCUCACAAGAAGGGGGCUGGCAAGCCUCCGAAAGCCAAGAAAUCUGCGACAUUGCCCGUCGAAAACAAGGAAAUUGUCCAGGGUGACGCAACUCAUAAUGAUGUUAAACAGGGCAAGUCACUCUACACUCCCGACCAAGAAGAGCGUGCUGCCAUUGCUCUUUCAAUGAGACCCAUCCUGGCACCGGCACAUCGGAGGGCCAAGAGCAUGAGCAUCAGCAACCGAUCGGUGCGCUUCCCGUUCACCCGACAACCGAGCAACAACUCGGCCACCUUCAAGCUGCGCUCCAAGAGCAGCAAGGCACCCAUCCUCCCAUCCGAACAAGACAAGCCCACGCGGCUCAGGUUCAGAAAGGGGAGAGCAGCCGGCGAGGAGUCCAGCGGCGGCAUCCAGCUCAGGGCCAGGAGCCUGCGGAGGCGAGGGAGCAGCAUGUCCGGCAGUGCAACAGGCUUCAUUGUGCCAGAGGUGAUGCUGAGGCACCAAAAGACGCUGGAGAGGAAGAAGAGCCGGAGGCUGUCCAACAACCUGAUCGAGGAGACGGCGAGCAGGCUGGCCAAGAGCAGGAAGAGCAGGGUCAAGUCCCUUGUUGGGGCUUUCGAAACUCUCUUCUCCAAGAUCGGAAAGUAG